rnacentral:snoRNA from 1 species
UUCACAUGAUGCUAUCAUAUUUGCUACUUCAGACGGCUUCGGCUGAAUGAGACAUAUUUAAUCACCAAGAUCUCUGAUUGAA